rnacentral:rRNA from 1 species
CCUACGGGAGGCAGCAGUGAGGAAUAUUGGUCAAUGGACGAAAGUCUGAACCAGCCAAGUAGCGUGAAGGAUGACUGCCCUAUGGGUUGUAAACUGCUUUUAUAUGGGAAUAACAUGUUCUACGUGUGGGACUUUGUAUGUACCAUAUGAAUAAGGAUCGGCUAAUUCCGUGCCAGCAGCCGCGGUAAUACGGAGGAUCCGGGCGUUAUCCGGAUUUAUUGGGUUUAAAGGGAGCGUAGGUGGAGUGUCAAGCGAGUUGUGAAAGGUUGCGGCUCAACCGUAAAAUUGCAGUUGAAACUGGCAGUCUUGAGUACAGUAGAGGUGGGCGGAAUUCGUGGUGUAGCGGUGAAAUGCUUAGAUAUGACGAAGAACUCCGAUUGCGAAGGCAGCUCGCUGGACUGCAACUGACACUGAGGCUCGAAAGCGUGGGUAUCAAACAGGAUUAGAUACCCGAGUAGUC